AAAAAUAUAUGAUGUCUUUUUCCUUUCUAUAUAUUCAGUGAAUCAUGUUACCGUAUUUGCUCUGAUUUGACAAAUUUAUUUGUAGGAACCAUCUUGCUCAGUUAUCUUUUUAUCUAUUUGUUUAUUCAUUUAUAUAUUUAUAUAUUUAGUUAUUGACGACAAUAAAGCUUUCUUCCAAAUCAAAUAAUAAAUUGUGAAAUUUAUUGAAAAUGUUUUAAAAAUCACUUAUUUGGUUAUCACGUACCUCGGUUAAUAAAACAUUAUAGAAUGUAUUUAAUUAAAUACGCCUGUGUAUUAUUUUUAAAAACAAAUCAUUCUUUUGUGCGAAAAUAAGCUAUAAACUCGAUAAUAAUUCAGCCAAUUAAAAAUAUGGUAUGUAUAAUCAGAAAGGGACUUACGUAAUUCGCUGGUGUGGCAGCACUGCAGAGCAGUAACCUUAUCAACGUGAAAUGUUAUAUAUUCUUAGUCUAAUUGUAUAGAAAAGUUGAAGUAUAAAAUUUGAAGAUGAUUGAAAAGUUUACACCGCAAACUGUUAUAAUAACGGUUUGGAUCGGCUGGUUAUUCUAUACAACAACGUUCGAUUAUCGAAGAUAUCGCUUCAACACAAUGCCUUAUCUGCACCCCGCUGCUAGUUCUUAUGCUCGUGAAAUAGAACUGGGAAAGUUGGGUAAAGUGUACAAAUUCAAAGAGCAUCUAACCAAGAGCAUGUACGAAGGAAAGUGAAGUAUAAAAGUUCUUUAUAUCAUUAUAAUAUAUUUAAUAGUAUAUAUGUAUAUAUCAAGAAUUAUAACUGUUGUAGUUAUAACAACAUUUAAUAAAUUACAAUAUGAAAAAUA